AGAGUUUGAUCCUGGCUCAGAACGAACGCUGGCGGCGUGCCUAACACAUGCAAGUCGAACGAGAAAGUUUCUUCGGAAACGAGUAAAGUGGCGCACGGGUGAGUAACACGUGAAUAAUCUGCCUUCAAGACUGGGAUAACUUGACGAAAGUUAAGCUAAUACCAGAUAAGACCACGCUUCACAAGGAGUGCGGGAAAAGGGAUCUCAAAUCCUGCUCGUAGAUGAGUUCGCGUACCAUUAGCUUGUUGGUGAGAUAAAAGCUCACCAAGGCGACGAUGGUUAGCCGGCCUGAGAGGGUGAUCGGCCACACUGGAACUGAGACACGGUCCAGACUCCUACGGGAGGCAGCAGUGGGGAAUCUUGCGCAAUGGGCGAAAGCCUGACGCAGCAACGCCGCGUGAGCGAUGAAGGCCUUCGGGUCGUAAAGCUCUGUCAAGUGGGAAGAACACAAUGACGGUACCACUAGAGGAAGCCCCGGCUAACUUCGUGCCAGCAGCCGCGGUAAUACGAAGGGGGCAAGCGUUGUUCGGAAUUAUUGGGCGUAAAGCGUAUGUAGGUGGUUUAUCAAGUCAGACGUGCAAGCCCUCGGCUCAACCGAGGAAUUGCGUUUGAAACUGAUAGACUUGAGUGUAGGAGAGGAAAGCGGAAUUCCCAGUGUAGCGGUGAAAUGCGUUGAUAUUGGGAAGAACACCGGUGGCGAAAGCGGCUUUCUGGCCUGCUACUGACACUGAGAUACGAAAGCCAGGGGAGCAAAGGGGAUUAGGUACCCCCGUAGUC
rnacentral:rRNA from 1 species